rnacentral:rRNA from 1 species
CCCUUAGAUGUUCUGGGCCGCACGCGCGCUACACUGAUGCAUUCAACGAGUAAUCUUUGACCUUGGUCGACAGAUCUGGGUAAUCUUUUGAAAUUGCAUCGUGAUGGGGCUUGCGGGUUGCAAUUACCCGCACCAACGAGGAAUUCCUAGUAAACGCAAGUCAUCAACUUGCAUUGAUUACGUCCCUGCCCUUUGUACACACCGCCCGUCGCUCCUACCGAUUGAGCGGUCCGGUGAAGACUCAGGAGAUGGGCGCGUGCUUGGUUCGCCAACUGCGCUGCCUGCCAAAUUUGUCUAAACCUUAUCGCCUAGAGGAAGGAGAAGUCGUAACA